rnacentral:rRNA from 1 species
CAGUAGCCACGGGAAAACGGAGGGGGCUAGCGUUGUUCGGAAUUACUGGGCGUAAAGCGCACGUAGGCGGCUUGGUAAGUUAGAGGUGAAAGCCUGGAGCUCAACUCCAGAAUUGCCUUUAAGACUGCCGAGCUAGCAGGUGAGAGGGGUAAGUGGAAUUCCGAGUGUAGAGGUGAAAUUCGUAGAUAUUCGGAAGAACACCAGUGGCGAAGGCGGCUUACUGGCUCAUACUGGACGCUGAGGUGCGAAAGCGUGGGGAGCAAACAGGAUUAGAUACCCGGGUAGUCCCUGUCUCUUAUAC